CGGGGAGGGGGGGUGUCCCUCAGCCCAGAUGGCGAGAGGGUGCAGGCCAGGUUGAGAGACUCCAUUGGUGCAGG
rnacentral:pre_miRNA from 1 species